CCAAUCUUAAAAGUCUAGCUUUUAAGAUCGACUAUUGGCGUGACCGAUCUUAAAAGCAAACUUUUAAGAUCGG
rnacentral:miRNA from 1 species